rfam:Brachypodium distachyon strain Bd21 chromosome 2, whole genome shotgun sequence.
AAAAUACUCCCUCCGUCCAACAAAGGAUGUUUCAAUUUUGACUAAAUUUGAAUGCAUCUAUACACUAAGUUAUGUCUAGGUGCAUUCAAAUUUUGACAAACUUGAAAUAUUUUUUAUUGGACGAUGGAGCAGCAA